rnacentral:misc_RNA from 1 species
GAUGAAGAACGUAGUGAAAUGCGAUAAGUAAUGUGAAUUGCAGAAUUCAGUGAAUCAUCGAAUCUUUGAACGCACAUUGCGCCCGCUAGUAUUCUGGCGGGCAUGCCUGUCCGAGCGUCAUUUCAACCCUCAAGCCCCCGGGCUUGGUGUUGGGGAUCGGCGAGCCUCCGCGCCCGCCGUCCCCUAAAUCUAGUGGCGGUCUCGCUGUAGCUUCCUCUGCGUAGUAGCACACCUCGCACUGGGAAACAGCGCGGCCACGCCGUUAAACCCCCAACUUCUGAACGUUUGACCUCGGAUCAGGUAGGAAUACCCGCUGAACUUAAGCAUAUCAAUAAGCGGGGA